rnacentral:rRNA from 1 species
GACGAACGCUGGCGGCGUGCUUAACACAUGCAAGUCGAACGGAAAGGCCCUGCUUGCAGGGUACUCGAGUGGCGAACGGGUGAGUAACACGUGGGUGAUCUGCCCUUCACUUCGGGAUAAGCUUGGGAAACUGGGUCUAAUACCGGAUAGGAGCCAUCUUUAGUGUGGUGGUUGGAAAGUUUUUUCGGUGUAGGAUGAGCUCGCGGCCUAUCAGCUUGUUGGUGGGGUAAUGGCCUACCAAGGCGGCGACGGGUAGCCGGCCUGAGAGGGUGUACGGCCACAUUGGGACUGAGAUACGGCCCAGACUCCUACGGGAGGCAGCAGUGGGGAAUAUUGCACAAUGGGCGCAAGCCUGAUGCAGCGACGCCGCGUGGGGGAUGAAGGCCUUCGGGUUGUAAACUCCUUUCGCUAGGGACGAAGCUUUUUUGUGACGGUACCUAGAUAAGAAGCACCGGCUAACUACGUG